rnacentral:rRNA from 1 species
UACGGAGGGUGCAAGCGUUAUCCGGAUUCACUGGGUUUAAAGGGUGCGUAGGUGGUUCGUUAAGUCUGAUGUGAAAGCCCUGGGCUCAACCUGGGAAUGGCAUUGGAAACUGGCGACCUAGAGUGCGGUAGAGGGUAGUGGAAUUCCCGGUGUAGCAGUGAAAUGCGUAGAGAUCGGGAGGAACAUCCGUGGCGAAGGCGGUUCUCUGGAACGCAACUGACGCUGAGACGCGAAAGCGUGGGGAGCAAACAGG